CAGCCGCCACGGGAAUACGAAGGGUGCAAGCGUUAAUCGGAAUUACUGGGCGUAAAGCGUGCGUAGGCGGUGAGUUAAGUCUGCUGUGAAAUCCCCGGGCUCAACCUGGGAAUGGCAGUGGAUACUGGCUCGCUAGAGUGUGUCAGAGGAUGGUGGAAUUCCCGGUGUAGCGGUGAAAUGCGUAGAGAUUGGGAGGAACAUCAGUGGCGAAGGCGGCCAUCUGGGACAACACUGACGCUGAGGCACGAAAGCGUGGGGAGCAAACAGGAUUAGAUACCCGCGUAGUCCCUGUCUCUUAUAA
rnacentral:rRNA from 1 species